AUUGAACGCUGGCGGCAGGCUUAACACAUGCAAGUCGAGCGAGCGGCGGACGGGUGAGUAAUGUCUGGGAAACUGCCUGAUGGAGGGGGAUAACUACUGGAAACGGUAGCUAAUACCGCAUAACAUCAGAUGUGCCCAGAUGGGAUUAGCUAGUAGGUGGGGUAAUGGCUCACCUAGGCGCCGAUCCCUAGCUGGUCUGAGAGGAUGAUUAGGCACACGGGAAGUGAGACACGGUCCCGACUCCUACACGAGGCAGCAGUGGGGAAGAUUGCACAAUGCAGGAAAGCCUGAUGCAGCAAUGGCGGGUGUAUGAAGAAGGCCUUCGGGUUUUAGAGCACUUACAGCGAGGAUGCGUUACUCGCAGAAGAAGCACCGGCUAACUCCGUGCCAGCAGCCGCGGUAAUAC
rnacentral:rRNA from 1 species